CUACGGGCGGCAGCAGUGGGGAAUAUUGGACAAUGGGCGAAAGCCUGAUCCAGCCAUGCCGCGUGUGUGAAGAAGGCCUUCGGGUUGUAAAGCACUUUCAGUGGGGAAGAAAGCCUUGGGGCUAAUACCCUCGAGGAAGGACAUCACCCACAGAAGAAGCACCGGCUAACUCCGUGCCAGCAGCCGCGGUAAUACGGAGGGUGCGAGCGUUAAUCGGAAUUACUGGGCGUAAAGCGCGCGUAGGCGGUCUGAUAAGCCGGUUGUGAAAGCCCCGGGCUCAACCUGGGAACGGCCUCCGGAACUGUCAGGCUAGAGUGCAGGAGAGGAAGGUAGAAUUCCCGGUGUAGCGGUGAAAUGCGUAGAGAUCGGGAGGAAUACCAGUGGCGAAGGCGGCCUUCUGGACUGACACUGACGCUGAGGUGCGAAAGCGUGGGUAGCAAACAGGAUUAGAUACCCUAGUAGUC
rnacentral:rRNA from 1 species